GAUGAACGCUGGCGGCGGGCCUAACACAUGCAAGUCGAACGGAAGAAGGGAGCUUGCUCCUGGAUUCAGCGGCGGGCGGGUGAGUAAUGCCUAGGAAUCUGCCGGGUAGUGGUUGGUAACAUCCGGGGGCGAGCGGUAAUAACGCAUACGAUCUGAGGCGGAAGGUGGGGGUUCUUGGGACCUCACGCGAUCAGAUGAGCCUACGUCGGCUUAGCUAGUGGUUGUGGUGAAGGCCUUCCCAGGCGACGAUCCGUAACUGGUCUCAGAGGGUGAUCAGUCACACGGGAACGGAGACACGGUUCAGGCUCCUGAGGCAGGCCGCAGUCGGGAAUAUGGGACAAGGGGGGAAAGUCUGACACAGCGAGGCCGCGUGUGGGAAGAAGGUCUCCGGAUUGUAAAGCACUUUAAGGUGGUAGGAAGGUCAGUAAGUUAAUAACGUGCUGUUGUGACGGUACCAACAGAAUAAGCACCGGCUAACUUCGUG
rnacentral:rRNA from 1 species